CAUGUUUCGACGGACCCUGUUCUGGCCCAAGGUAACCCGCUCGUGGACAACGUCUUCGAUCAGCGCCGCCACGGCACACUUUCCCGACGCUGUCCACGCCGACCCAGCCUCGUCCCGCACCGGGUCGACCUCAGCCAAGGAGUCGCGCAGCUGGAAGCUGGGCGAUGACACCGUCAAAGCGGAGGCGCUCCCAAAGCACCUGCAGCUUGCCGUGCGUAAGCUGCAGGUCUACGGCGACCUUGUUCGUUUUAGCCGGCCGGUGGGCUGGCAGCUCCUUCUAAUCCCUUGCUACUGGGGCUCCUCUUUGGCAGUGACGCGGGCGCUUGUCUGGGAAGGCGCCGACCCGGUGGUGCUCUGCGCCCCGUUCAUUCCCCUUCACUUGUGUGUCCAGUUCUUGCUCGGCGCCUACCUCAUGCGCAGCGUAGGCUGCAUCGUAAAUGAUAUGUGGGACCGCAAGUUUGAUCGCAUGGUCGAGCGCACCGCGCAACGCCCGCUCGCUUGUGGCGCCAUAUCCAUGACAGAGGCCUCCGCGAUCCUCCUCUUGCACCUCUCCGUGGCCGGCGUGAUCGCGCUCAACCUCUCGCCGGCAGCCCUGCAGGCGUGCGUGGCCAUCACACCGAUAUGGUUGAUUUACCCCUUCAUGAAGCGCAUCACCUACGCCCCGCAGCUCUUCUUGGGUCUGUGCUUCAACUGGGGUAUCUUCGUCGGCUACGCGGCGGUGCUGGGGCGAGUCGACAUGGCCGUGUGUCUGCCGAUCUAUGGCGGUGCCGUGAUAUGGACCAUCUUGUACGACACCAUCUACGCCUACCAGGACCGCCGCGACGACCUCAAAUGCGGCGUCAAGAGCACUGCCAUUUGGAUCGGGGACCGCAAGUACAUUCUGAAUGCCAUGGUGGCGCCCAUCGGAGCGAGCCUGCUCAUCAGUGGCUUUCUGGCGUCGCAGUCCCUGCCCUACUACAUCGGGAUCGUAUUGUGCAUGUACCACCUGCACUCCAUUGUGGACGACGUAAACAUCUACGACAGCUGGUCCUGCGCGCAGGGGUUCAAGCGCAACGUGCGAGUCGGCAUGUACGUCUUUAUGGCGAUGUGCCUUGGCAACCUCUGCUGGGCUUUCGCGUCCGAGCACGAGGCGGAGCUGGACAGGAACACCGACAGCGCCCCGAAGAGCUCGGCGCUCUCGCGCUUCCUGUUCCUAGAUCAGGAGACGCACGGGUCAAUGUACACAAAAGGCAGCUUCAACUGGGCGGACCGCUUUAUGCAUCCGGCGUUUGUGCAGGCCGAGAGCGCCAAGUUGGCCGGUGCCACUGAGGCACCGCCGAUUCCAGCCUGGAUGCGGCGUGAGUACUUCUGGCAGAACGUGUCAGCCAUCCUCCUCUUCUGUGGCGUGGCGGAAGACACAGUGGCAGCGUGGUCGACGUUCUCGUACGAGUGGAUGGACCACUACAACAUGUUCUCGAAAGUAUCUCCGUAGGCGGCCGUGCGGGUGCGUGGGGAGGUUGGAGGAGGGGGAGGGUGUACGCCGGAGGUGGAGGGAGGCCAGACGAGCCUAAUGUGUCGCGUCGCCUCAGGAACACGAGAGGCAGAGACCAGGGAGUCGACAUUGCCCUCCGCCUCAUCUGCUGCUCCCGCCACCAAACCCGCCCAGUGCUAAUCGUAUCACUACGCUGAUGCCGCUUCCUGACUCUGCGCACGUGAGUCCGUUUUUUCUGCCGUGGAAGAGAGGAAGAAACGGCGGAGGUCGCACUGUGUUCUCGUCCCACCUUCACAAGCCGUUAUCACAGAUAUGACAUAUCCCGUUUUUCUUCGCCUUGCGCAUGCUCAGUUGUGGUGGCCUGUGGUUGUGCUCUGUAUAGAUAUGCCGUGAAGAGUUGGGUGGAGUUGCCUUGCAAUGGGUACGUCGGCUGUGUUUGUAUGUGUGUAUUCGCCGAGACAUGCGCAGUCGGGCUGCAGUGGUGUGCGAGGUUUGUCAGAGGGGGUGGGGGGCAGCGGGUGGUGAGAACGAGGUAGCAAGCGCGCAUGUGUCCACACGUCAAAGCCAUUAUCGUUACAAACUAAUUUGAAAUCAAAGCAGUCGUGAAGACCCGUGGCUUAUCACAGCAUGUCUGUGUUGGCUUUCCGCGUUGAAGACUCUUAGAAAGCGGUGGGCGUGCGUGUGCACGACGUUCCCCCCUUUCCAUGUGUUUUUCCCCACCUUCACCGCGUGCUUUCCUUGCGCUCGACUCCUCUCCGACUUUGCAUCCUCACUGCCUCGUGUGGCCGACCCGCAGAGCGCAGCACCCUUGGAAGGCACGCUCGCCAACUGUCCACAGAUCGCCGGCAUCCCUUAUCUUCAUGUGUGAAGCGCUCUGUACACUGCAACGACUCGUUUGCUGCGCCCUUCAAGUGUGUCCAUCCUCACCCCCCCCUUGUCACCUCAUCGCUCUCUCUAUACACGAUCGGUAG
rnacentral:misc_RNA from 1 species